rnacentral:rRNA from 1 species
AUUGAACGCUGGCGGCAGGCCUAACACAUGCAAGUCGGGCGAGCGGCGGACGGGUGAGGAAUGUCUGGGGAUCUGCCUGAUGGAGGGGGAUAACUACUGGAAACGAUAGCAAAUCCAGCUUACCAGCGGAUGAACCCAUAUGGGGUUGGCUGGUGGGGGAGGUAACGGCUCACCUAGGCGACGAUCCAUCGCUGGUCUGAGAGGAUGAGCAGCCACACUGGGAGUGAGACACGGCCCAGACUCCGACGGGAGGAAGCAGUGGGGAAAGUGGCAGCAGGGGCGAAAGCUUGUUGCAGCAAUGCCGCGGGUAGGAAGAAGGCCCUCGGGUUGGAAAGUACUUUCCGGUGGGAGGCGUUACCGACAGAAGAAGCACCGGCUAACUCCGUGCCAGCAGCCGCGGUAAUAC